AGUGGUUUCCGGGGAGGGUAAAACCUUUUUGUCAAGGAAACAUGUAGCGGUUCUGUGCACCCGAAAAACAUUGUAGCCUUUCUAUGUUGCAACAGAUAUCUCCAUGCUCCCGCGAGUAGACAGUACGCGCGUGCUUUUGGUGACAGAUGUGCAAGCUGGUAGAGAAAAUGGUUAACUAUGGACACGCGUCAAAGACAUCGAUAGAGAACGGUGGUUUUAUAAUCGAGAGAAUGAAGGGUAAAGGUUUCCUCGGACUGUCAGAGUGGCCUUUGAUUCGUGAGUUGGGGGCCGUCAGAAGUUCGUUAAUUUAUGCUGCGUAGCUAAUAGAUCAUCAACACGUGGUUCAUUUCUUGGACGAAUUCAAUUUUGGAAAUGGAAAAUGCUAUGGGUACAAUCAAAUUGUACCCCAAAUGCACACCCAAUGAGGGGUCGCAUUUGGGGGGUUGGGUGUGGAGUGAAAGGACUGAGUAGACUCCACAUCCAGCCAAUUCAAAUGCGAUCCUCAUUUGGGAUACAUUUGGGAUACAACUUGAUUGUAUCCAUAACAUUACCUUUGGAAAUAUUGGUGAAAGAAAUCAACAAUACCAACAAUACUAUGUUACCAUUAUCUGUAUUUGAGAAAAAAAAUUAUUGCAAUGGUAAUAAAUAUUUAAUAUAUUAAAAUUACAUAAAAAUAUUAUAUUUUUUUUACACGCAAUUAACAAUACUUCAGAGAAAUUCUAGACCCAACAGUAAACAUUAAUCCAAUUCUCCCAACAAAUAAUUCAAUUAUAUCAAUGGAUAUGGAUUAAUGGAUUAUGCCGAUUAGUCAAAAUGGUUGACUUUUUUUAAAAAAAUUAUUUUCGUGAAAAUUAUUUAUGAAAAUAGCAUGUUUUUUAAGCUUAAAAAACUAGAUCUAUUUCACCUUUUUAAAGGGAGAAGUCGCCCUUUAACAAAGGGACUUAAACUCGUCUUAUUAAGGGGCGACUUCGCUUGCUUAAUGAGCGACUUUGCUUGUUUAAAAAGACAAGUUCAUUCCACGAUAAAAAGUACUAAAAUCACACAAAUCUAUUUCUCAGUAGCACUAACAGAUUUUUACUUACAUUCCAAAUGGAAGAGGAGAGAGUUGUAUAGAGCGAGUGGGGGUAGGGGCAGACAUCGGGUCCAAGGUGAUGACCAUGUGUCUAGGACCACAACAAGAUCGGGGCGUCUAAUUCUGAGCUAUCAACGGUUUUUCAUGGAAAGAGCAGCUGUUGUCUCAUAACAUGACAAUGACCACCGUUCAGUACAAGAAAAUCGGUCUUUGGUUAUUAAUUAAAUUCGUCUCAAAUUAUAUAUUUUUUCUCGCAAAUGGUAUAGGUGGCGAAAUUAUUUCCUCAACUAAAGAUCGUCACCAAAAGGCUUCUGGUGACAAAAUUUUUAUUUCGUCACCUAGAGUGAUAUUUUUAUGACGAAAUUUAAUUCGUCACCUAUAAUUAAUGUUUUACGACCAAAUAUAUUGUCACUAUUUUGAUAUUUUUUGUCACCAGUUAUUCAUUUUGUCACAAAUAAUUGAUAAAAAAUAAUAACGUAAGCAACAUAGGUGAGGAAAAUUUUUCAUCACCUACCGUAACUAUCUUAUGACGAAAUUUAUUUCGUCACAUAUAGUGACUGUCUUAUGAAAAAAUUUAUUUCGUCAAUAUUUUGACAACUUAUAGUGACUAUUUUAUGACGAAAUAUUUCGUCAAUAUUUUGAUAAUUGUUUGCCACUAAUUAUCUUGUUUCGUCACUAAUAGUAUUCUUUUCUAAAUAACAUAGGUGAGGAAAAAAACUUUCGUCACCUAAAAUUUUAAACUUAAAAAUUAGUAAAGUGAGAAAAGAUUUUGUUACCUAUAAUUUUAAAUUAAAUCCAAUCGGUGACGAAAAGUUUAUCACCAAAAAAUAUUUUAUUUUAUUUUUAAGGAGAGAGGUUAGGGGUAUUUUAGGGGAAAAUAUGGUGUUUUGAAAAUCCAAGAGUUUUCAAAAGGAUUUUGAAAGAUAUUUAUCGUUUUACAUUUUUUUAUUUUUAAAAAAAAUUGAUUUAUUUUUAACUCAAAAAGAUUUAAUUAACCCAAAUAUUUUGGCCUAAUCCAAUUUGUUUUCUUUUAAGCCCAAAUAUAUUAUUUUAAAGUCCAAAUCAUUUUGAGCCCGUAGCCUUUUUUUUAACUUAAUUUUAACACAAUUUGUUUUAUAAAAAAAAUAUAUUUUUUAUUUAUUAUUAUUUUUUUCAUUCUAAGAAAUGAAUAUUCUCUUUCUUAGAUGGUGGAAAGCACCCAAAAAUAUUUUUUUUUCCUAAGUAGCGAAACCUUCUCAAAAACCUUUCAAGUCCAUAAUUGCUAUUUUCAAUUCCAAUGCUCACCUAUAAAUACCCACAUUCUCUUAUUCAUAGUGGAGAUGGAAAAAACAUUAAAAAAUACAUAGUGAAAUCCUAUGGGAAGAAAAGAGUUCUAGUCUAUUUUUUUAGUUUUGGAGAAGAGUAGUGAGAAAAAUAGUGAGAGAGAAA
rnacentral:lncRNA from 1 species